AAAAUCACAUUAAGAGUAUAUGGCGGAUGCCUUGACAUAAGAGAACGAUGAAGGACGUAGCAGCCUGCGAUAAGCUUCGGUGAGGUGGCAAGCAACCCUUGACCCGAAGAUUUCCGAAUGGGGAAACCUCCCCGGUUGUAGACCGGGGGUCCGCUGGCUGAACACAUAAGCCAGUGAGACGAUUACCCGGUGAAUUGAAACAUCUUAGUAGCCGGAGGAAAAGAAAAAAAGCCUGAGCAAUCAGGAAUAUUCCGUGAGUAGUGGCGAGCGAAAACGGAGGAGUCUAAACCGAUUUAACCGCGUCGCGUGGUGCACUUGUGCAUUUUACGCGACAGAAGGAUUCAGGUCCAUAUGUUUUUUCGGUGUUGCAAGAAUAUGCUUUCAUUUCCUGUAUUAAAUGGGGCAGAGACAUAACAAUAACAUCCCUAGUUGAAGCGAGCUGGAAAGCUCCGCCAGAGAAGGUGAAAGCCCUGUAACAGCAAAAGGGGUUAUUGCUCUGCGGCAUAUCUCUUAAGUACUGCGGGACUCGUGAAAUCCCGUGGGAAGCCGGGUCGACUAUGACCCAAGACUAAAUAUCUCUUAUGAUCGAUAGUGAACAAGUACCGUGAGGGAAAGGUGAAAAGCAGCCCGGUGAGGGCGGUGAAAUAGUACCUGAAACCAUAUACUUACAAGGAGUUGGAGCCCCGGUUCGCCGGGGUGACAGCGUGCCUAUUGAAGAAUGAGCCAACGAGUUUGUUCUAUGUGGCUUGACUAAGUUCCGUUUGGAAUGGAGUCGAAGUGAAAGCGAGGGUUAAUAGCCCGUAUCCACUUAUUUUGCAGAUACCAGGCCUUCUGGUGGCUGCAAAAUAACGUGGAAUGUCGCAUGGACAAGACCCGAAGCCGGGUGAUCUAGCCAUGGCCAGGUUGAAGUAGUACGAAAGUACUAUGGAGGACCGAACCCACAAGCCGUUCAAUACUUGGGGAUGAGCUGUGGCUGGCGGAGAAAUUCCAAUCGAACUCGGCAAUAGCUGGUUCUCCUCGAAAUAGCUUUAGGGCUAGCGUCGGAUGCUGACUACUGGGGGUAGAGCACUGAAUGAGACAGGGGCCGCAAGGUACCCUUCUUAACCAAACUCCGAAUACCAGUAGGUGAAGUCCGGCAGUCAGACUAUGGGGGCUAAGCUUCAUCAGUCAAAAGGGAAACAGCCCAGACCGCAAUCUAAGGUCCCAAAAUAUAUGCUAAGUGUAAAAGGUGGUGUCGCGACUGCGACAACUAGGAGGUUGGCUUAGAAGCAGCCAUCCUUUAAAGAUAGCGUAAUAGCUCACUAGUCUAGUUGUCUCGCGCCGAAAAUGUACCGGGGCUAAGCAUAUUACCGAAGAUGCGGGCCAGCUAUGCUGGUAGACACGAAGAAAACGAAAAAUUACGAAAAAAACGAAAAAUAUUAGUUUCGUUACUUUCGUUUAAUUUCGUUAAGUUUCGUGUUUACCAGCAUAGCUGGCGGUAGAGGAGCAUUCUAUACGCGCAGAAGCCGAAUUGUGAAGUUUGGUGGAGCUUAUAGAAGAGAGAAUGUUGGCAUGAGUAGCAAAAAGGCGGGUGAGAACCCCGCCCACCGUAAGUCUCAGGGUUCCUGGGCAACGUAAAUCGUCCCAGGGUUAGUCGGUCCUAAGGCGAGGCCUCUGUAGUGGGGGCGUAGUCGAUGGAUUAGCUGGUCAAUAUUCCAGCACUGCUGCAGUUUUCCGAUGGGGAGACGCAGUUCUAGAGUUUAUACGUGCUAUGGUAUGUACGUUGUUUGUUUUAAAGCGCGAUCCAGGCAAAUCCGGAUCAACAGCGCGGAGAAAUCGACUAAAGAUGAAGCCUCGGCGGAUUCAAAUAAGCAAAAGAGCUGCCUAGAAAAACCUCUAGGGCUAAGGCUGCAGCAACCGUACCGCAAACCAACACAGGUAGACGAGGCGAGUAGCCUCAGGUGAACGAGAGAAUCUUCGUUAAGGAACUCGGCAAAACAGCGGCCGUAAUUUAGAGAUAAGGCCUGCCCAUAGCAAUAUGGGCCGCAGCUAAAGAAGCCCGAGCGACUGUUUAUCAAAAACACANNCUGAAGCGCUGAUGAACGCCGGCGGUAACUAUAACCGUCCUAAGGUAGCGAAAUUCCUUGUCGGGUAAGUUCCGACCUGCACGAAUGGCAUAACGAGUUGUGGACUCUCUCAACGAAGGACUCGGUGAAAUUGCAAGAUGAGUGAAGAUGCUCAUUACUCGUGGUUAGACGAAAAGACCCCGUGAAGCUUUACUAUAGCUUAAUAUUGGGUUAUGACUAUGCAUGUUCAGAAUAGGUGGGAGCCGCAAGGCAACAGUGAGAUACCACCCUUGUAUAUUUGUAACCCUAACCCUCAGGCCUUGAAUCAGGUCAGGGGACAGUAUUUGGUGGGUAGUUUGUCUGGGGCGGAUGCCUCCCAAAGAGUAACGGAGGCGUUUACAAAGGUUGGCUAUCCCGGAAUGGAAACCCGGGAGAUAGUGUAAAGGCAAAAGCCAGCUUUACUGCAAGACCAGCAAGUCGAGCAGUUGCGAAAGCAGAACUUAGUGAUCCGACCGUUCGAUAUAGGACGGCGGAAGCUCAUCGGAUAAAAGCUACUCCGGGGAUAACAGGCUAGUCACGCCCAAGCGUCCACAGCGACGGCGUGGUUCGGCACCUCGAUGUCGGCUCGUCGCAUCCUGGGGGUGAAGAAGCUCCCAAGGGUUGGGCUGUUCGCCCAUUAAAGCGGCACGCGAGCUGGGUUCAGACCGUCGUAAGACAGGUCGGUCUCCUAUCCACUAUGGUCGUGGAAACUUGAGAAGGCUCUUCCCUAGUACGAGAGGACCGGGAAGGACGAAGCUCUAGUGUGCCGGCUGUCCCACCAGGGGCAUUGCCGGGUAGCUACCUUCGGUUUGGAUAAGCGCUGAAGGCAUAUAAGCGCGAAGCCGUCUUCAAGAUUAGGUUUCAUAGAGUCGUCGGAGAACACGACGUUAAUAGGCUCUAGGUGUAAGUGCAGUAAUGCAUUCAGCCGAGGAGUACUAAUCACUCAAAUGAUUUUC
rnacentral:rRNA from 1 species